rnacentral:tRNA from 1 species
GGGGAGGUCGCAUAGAGGCCGAGUGCACGUCGGUGCUAACGACGCAGGGGGUCUAAAAAGCUCCCUCGAGGGUUCGAAUCCCUCCCUCCCCG